rnacentral:rRNA from 1 species
AACAGGAUUAGAUACCCUGGUAGUCCAUGCCGUAAACGAUGUCGACUUGGAGGUUGUGCCCUUGAGGCGUGGCUUCCGGAGCUAACGCGUUAAGUCGACCGCCUGGGGAGUACGGCCGCAAGGUUAAAACUCAAAUGAAUUGACGGGGGCCCGCACAAGCGGUGGAGCAUGUGGUUUAAUUCGAUGCAACGCGAAGAACCUUACCUACUCUUGACAUCCAGAGAACUUUCCAGAGAUGCUUUGGUGCCUUCGGGAACUCUGAGACAGGUGCUGCAUGGCUGUCGUCAGCUCGUGUUGUGAAAUGUUGGGUUAAGUCCCGCAACGAGCGCAACCCUUAUCCUUUGUUGCCAGCGAUUCGGUCGGGAACUCAAAGGAGACUGCCGGUGAUAAACUGGAGGAAGGUGGGGAUGACGUCAAGUCAUCAUGGCCCUUACGAGUAGGGCUACACACGUGCUACAAUGGCGUAUACAAAGAGAAGCGACCUCGCGAGAGCAAGCGGACCUCAUAAAGUACGUCGUAGUCCGGAUUGGAGUCUGCAACUCGACUCCAUGAAGUCGGAAUCGCUAGUAAUCGUAGAUCAGAAUGCUACGGUGAAUACGUUCCCGGGCCUUGUACACACCGCCCGUCACACCAUGGGAGUGGGUUGCAAAAGAAGUAGGUAGCUUAACCUUCGGGAGGGCGCUUACCACUUUGUGAUUCAUGACUGGGGUGAAGUCGUAACAAGGUAACC